CACAUACUGCUGUAUUGUCAGGUAGUGAUAAAUCCUAUCACCACCUGACAUUACAGUAUGUGUUUGUUUUAUAUAUUU
rnacentral:miRNA from 1 species